rnacentral:rRNA from 1 species
UACGUAGGGUGCGAGCGUUGUCCGGAAUUAUUAGGCGUAAAGGGCUCGUAGGCGGUUUGUCGCGUCGGGAGUGAAAACCUUGGGCUUAACUCAGGGCUUGCUUUCGAUACGGGCAGACUAGAGGUAUGCAGGGGAGAACGGAAUUCCUGGUGUAGCGGUGAAAUGCGCAGAUAUCAGGAGGAACACCGGUGGCGAAGGCGGUUCUCUGGGCAUGAUCUGACGCUGAGGAGCGAAAGUGUGGGGAGCGAACAGG